AAGCUGUCUGCACAGAGCCCAACGUGGGGCUCAAACUCAGGAACCAUGAGAUCAUGCCCUGAGCCAAAGUCAGACACCCAACCGAGUCACCCAGGUGCCCCAAAAACUAUUUUAUUAUAUAAAAAGGUGACUUUUACUUACAACAUUGUUAGAAAAGUAGUUUUAUACUUUCAAAUGCAAAUUACUAUUUUCAAAAUUAAAAAAAAAAUUGAGUUGGGACUAUAUAGUACAAAACUCAAAAGGUUAAAAAUGACACUUAGAGAAAUGUAAGUUCUUCUCCUCCCCUUUUUUUUUCCAGAUCCCCUGUUCUCUUCUAAGAGUCAACAACUGUUAUUAGCUUCUUGUGCUUUCCUUAAGAGGUGAUCUACAAAGAACUAAUUACUAAGAAUUUGUAAGGUCAUUUUGGUCUCAAUAUCCUGGUCUUGGAUUGUAAAGUUGUCUAAACUGGUUUUUAGAAUGAUAGUUGAGGUCAGAUGACAUCAGCAGUAAUCUUUUUCAUGGUGCAAAAAUCCUUUGCACCCAUUAGAGAAACUUAAACUUGGGUAAGAUGUGGAAGGGAAGAGGAGAGAGGAAGAGGUAGUUAAAGCCACUUGUAAUUAAUGGGGAGUUCUGGUAAUGUGUCCCUUGCCUCUAUGGAAAUGGUGCAAUGAUAUUGAAUUUAAAGUCAGAAAGGGUACCAGUUUGGGGGAAAUGUUCAGAGAACACACACUUUGCAAAUAGCUCUAUGAAAAUAACCUACUUAAGGAUAAGAGGCGAAUCAUCUCAAGAUUGAUUCCUAAUUUCUCAUGAACAUUGUAUUUAUCAUGACUACAAGUGUAUUAUUAAUGCAUGAAAUUAUUGCUGGUUCAUACAUAUAUUGGCUAACUAAGAAUGAACUUGGGCAAAGUCUCUAAAGGCAAGAACAGAAAAAUGGUUCAUAAUACUCACCAUAAGAAAAUGUUGAAUGGAUCCUGGCCAUUGUUUAGAAGAAGUUCAAGACGGUAUAAGCAGCUAUAUUAAUGAAUUUUUAAGCAUUUUUUUUCUCUGAGAAGGUCAAUGGCUAUGGCUAGAACUGCCCUGUUGAUGGCCAAGCAAAGAUGCAUGUGCGAUGGAGAGAAAACUGCACAUUUACCCCUGACGGGGGAGGGUAAAGGAUGCCAGAGUGGUUUUUUUUGUUUGUUUGUUUGAGAGAGAGCAAGUGGGAGAAGGGCAGAGAGAGAGGGAGUGAGAGGGAAGCCAAAGCAGGCUUCUCACCAAUCACACAGAGCCUGAUGUGGGGCUUGAACCCAUGAACUGUGAAAUCACGACCUGAGCCGAAACCAGGAAUUGGACACUUAACCAGUUGAGCCGCCCAGAUGCCCCUGUGGGAUGCCAGAGUGUUCUUAUGAGCCAAGAGGACUUGUGGAAGGAUCUGGCCUUGGGGUUGUUGUAAAACACUUAUCUUUGAAGGCUUCUUGCCAAAGGACAAAGGCCAUCAGCAAAAAGAGGCUGGAAGGUAUCCCUGGCAACAGAGGAUGAAGAUCGGAUGAGAAGCACUUGGCCAGAGACCAGAAUGGCCCCAGGGUCCCCAGGGAGUGACUUUGGGGAGGAGUCCGCAAAGUGCUGUUGAAGAGAAGGAAUCAUCACUGGGAAACUGCCUCACCCAGAAGAUGCAAACAUCGUUCCAUAUCUGCCUUUGAUGAAAAAGUUCUGGAGAUCUGUUUCACCAUAAGGUGACUAUACUUCACAUUACCAAACUGUAUACUUAAAAAUGGUUCAGAUGGUAAAUUUAAUGUUAUGCGUCUUUUAACCACCUUAAAAAAAAGAGUGAAAGAAGUAGAGAAAUUUAUAUUUCUUUCUAUGUACAUGUAAAGUGACAGGACCAUUCUUGGGCAGUUGGAUCUGGUAUACUUCAAUGACUUAAGGUCAGAUUGACCCCAGUGAUAUCAUUAUACCUAUAGUUUAUGUUGCAUUAACAUUUUUUUUUAAGUUCAGAAAUAUCGCUCAAUCAUUUGCUCUAGACCGAAUGUUAUGUCUCCUUAAAAUUCCUAUGUUGAAACCUAACCCUCAGUGUUGUCUUUGGAGGUAGAACCUUGGCAGGUGCUUAGGACAUGAUGGGGGAACCCUCAUGAAUGGGAUUAGUGCCCUUAUGAAAGAGACCCCAGGGAGCUCCCUUCCCACUUCCGCCAUGUGAGGACACAGUGAGAAGACUGUGACCUGGAAGAGGGCCCUCAUCCAACCAUGUUGGCACUUAGAUCUCAGAUGUCCAGCCUCCAGAUCUGUGGGCAAUCGAUUUCUGUUGUUUUGAAGGCUCCCAGCCUGGGCUAACUUGUUCUCGCAGCCCAAAUGGGAUAAGAUACCUAGCCUCGAAAGUCACACAGCACAGCCUCUACAACGUUCCCCAUGUCAGCAUCAAGACGCCUACUCUAGUCACCUGCAAGGGAAGGGAAAUUAGACUCCACCUUUUGGAGAUGGCAGUGUCCAUGAAUUUGUAGAUGUAUUUAAAAGCCAUCAUGCGACGUGACUGGUUUUGCCAAUGAAAAGUGAAAUAUGUCACUUCUGGAGGGAAACCUUUAAGAGCUGGUGUGUGAUUUUCCACAUUCUUGUCCCUUGCCAAUAUCGAGGGGACAUGUGUUGAUAUGGAGGAAUAAAGCUGAGUCAUUGCAUGGGGGACAGGUGCCCUAGAAAGGAGCCCUGACAUUUCAAAGGACCUUGCAUGAAUGAGAAAUAAACUUUUGUUGUUUUGAA